rnacentral:rRNA from 1 species
UACGAAGGGGGCUAGCGUUGCUCGGAAUUACUGGGCGUAAAGGGCGCGUAGGCGGCUCUGUUAGUCAGGCGUGAAAUUCCUGGGCUCAACCUGGGGACUGCGCUUGAUACGGCGGGGCUUGAGGAUGGAGGAGGGUCGCGGAAUUCCCAGUGUAGAGGUGAAAUUCGUAGAUAUUGGGAAGAACACCGGUGGCGAAGGCGGCGACCUGGUCCAUUACUGACGCUGAGGCGCGACAGCGUGGGGAGCAAACAGG